ACCUCACUAAGUUCGCAAAUUAUCGUCGUGUUUACGUUCUUGAUAUCGUGGCGGAUCAAUAUGAAUCAGCAAGUCUCGAGUGGUCUCACAAUCAGGUACUCGUGGGUGGUAACGAUUCAGUAUCGACUUGCCAGACGGGCGAAGCAAUUGAAAUAGGUAGUUCAGACGUCGACCUUAACUUGCUAAUAAAACCAGUAAUUUACAGAAGGACGCUCGAUUAAAAGAAUUCCAACCUAACCUAACAAAAUCGUUUCAAAUCCAUAUGAAUGGGGCCAUAAACUACAAGAGAAACGUAGUGCAGAACGUAAACGUGAUACACAAUGAUAUUAAAUAACGACAAUAGAGAAUCGAUUCAAUUUCAAUUAAGCAACAAUAACCGAAGACACCUAGAGGAUUAGUGUCAGAUUUUCCCGUUAGAGGGUCGAUCUACGGGGAAUCCCGUUUUCGGGCACGAUGGCCGACAGUGACGUUUCUUUUGUUCGACUCGCGAAUUCGAUAGCCUGGAUAUGCGUUAUGGAAGGCGCAAACACGUUUAUGUUUUACUGAGAAGUAACCGGACACUGAGAUAAGACGUACAAAGCUUCUCCACUGUGCGAAUUGAAGUUAACCGAGAAAGCCAUAAGGAAUGACAAGAAGGUUGGAAGGGAAACGGAUCUAAGUCCCAUAGCCGUGCGGUUCGAUUCGGAAGCUUUCUCCGAUUAUCCGGGAGUGCCGGUAGCUAUCAUUGUAUACAGGUAUACAUUUACCUGUAUACCUUGCAAGGCACAAUCUGAUUGGUACUGCAACUGCAUCGCAGAUACUGCACUGUUGACACAGAGAGAAAUCGAGCAUUGUAUUAAUUAAUUAACGUUCGAAAUGAUCCACCCGAUUGGCUGCGAAGCUAGCGAUGACGUCAGUGAACUACCAACACCGCACGUGGCUCCUGCAGGAACGGGGAUAACGAAUUGCACAAGAUGAUCGACAAUGAUCAAUUUGAUUUUAUGAUGGCAAGGUAUUCGGUCGCACAAUUCCCACGGGCAGUGCGGAAAUGAAGUCAGCGCAAAGAUUCGCUCUGACUUUCAUUGAAAUAUUAAUAGACCGGUAGGGUGGCCGAUAGUUUUCUGAGAAGAAAGUCACUCGGAUACAAUGGACCACGCUGCGGGAUAUCCAGACGUAGAUUUUCUGGGACAGAAGUUUAACAAGACGAAAGCAGCAUCCCGAAUUCGUGGACCAUCAGAUAAGAAGAUGCGUCUGUGAAAACCGAGGGGUCCCACUCGUUGGGUUCGCACGCUUUUCUCUUGGGUGUCGGCGGCUGAUUUCGGUGUUCUCGGUUUAAGCAUGGAAAAAGAGACAGGGAGAGAAAAAGAAGAUGUCAAAAAUAUCUAUAGGUCUUCGGUGGCCCUUUUCAAGAAAUAACGGAGUAUGCCUGUUCCUCGUUGUACGGUACAUGAAAAAGAUGUUCGUAAAGGCACAUUUUUUGUCUUCGUAUAAUCGUACAGUGGUAGUUUGCUAAAAAAAUUCAUGAAAUCGACCUGACAUAAUUAAUCUGUAUUCCGACUGUACUCGUAGCCACGUAUUCGUCCACUGAAUUAAUUAAUUAACUUUCCAAAUGGACACAGACAAGAUUAACACCUCGAGAUCAAUUUACGCACGCCUUCGAUCCGCGGGUCCUUGGCGCGUGUUACCAGAACCAGUUCCGUGACGAACGAUCGGUUGGGAUUUUAUUUAAUUUUUUUAUUUUUGACCGUCCAAUUACGCAGCAGCACAUGGCGAAUUAAUGUCUAAAAUAAAUCUGUUGAUUAGUGCAGAUUCGUAAUUUAUUCUUCAUUGAUAUAAUUCAUUGUGAUUGUCUACCAACGAAUUUCCUUACUGUGGCUGAUCACCAAGAAAUCUUUUAGUUUGCGAUUUCGAAGAGAAAAUAUUGAAUAUAGGACUUUCGUGAAAUCCGCUUUUUAUUACGUCAGCUUUGUGCGUACACGACCUUUUCCUUCAUUCAGAUACGGAUCUGUCCACCUGACAAUUUAAGCAGCUUUCGUUCCGUAACUAUAUAACGCAUGAUUCUGAUCCAUCUGUGUGGUUAUAAUUUUUAGUAAAUUUUUUUUCCUUCAGAAACAGGACACACGAAAAGAAUUACACGCAUGACUACGUGAUUCGCCGUGAGCUAACCAGGCGAUGAAUCAGCUAUGCAUUUUUUUUCAAGGAGCCCUAGCGAAUCCUGUGACGUACCAAACAUCCGUCCUACGUAUCUCAACGAGAUCGUCUCGUGGAUUUUCCCAAAUUCUAAGGAAGCCUAAUUUUUUUUUAAAGCGGCGCCAGAUUUAAAACGACAGUCCCGUUAUGGAUCGGAUUUGUUUAUCUAAGGUUGGAGGGCAGGGGUGUCUGUCUAAAACGACGCGAGACUCCAGCG